UCCAUUGACUUAAAAAAAAAAGAAAGGGCAUGAUUUCGUUGAGCUGCCAGACUCCCAUCUCCUCUUCGGAUUUCCAGUCUCCACACUUUUACAUUUUAGGUGUUUGGGUUUGAGUUUAAGAUAACUUAGCUAAAACUGUUUUUCUCCCAAAUACGCAUUUAUUUCAAACCCUCUAUUUACCAGAUGAAGAAACUCAAGAUCAGAAAUAUGAAGUGCCUUUCUCAAGAACAUACAACUAGCUAGAAGUAGGGGAAGGGCUGAAACCAACCUCUCAAAAUUCUUAGUCCCAUACUACUUCUUAAAAAUAUAAACAAAAGUAAGAUAAGUAAAACUGAUGAUAACCAACAUGUUAUCGUAUGCCUUAUUGUUCCUCGUGCCAAAAGAUUUUCAUUUUUCAUAUUUACAUCUCCACAAGGCCAUAUGAAGUGGGUAUUAUUACUCUGCAUUAAAGGAUUUGAGACCUGGAGAGGUUAAGUCAGCCUCUGGUUACAGAACUAGUAAGGGACAGAGGUAAAAUUCUUCCCCAGGGCAACUUGGUCUAGAACCUUUGGAGCAUAUUUGAGAAGAGAGAGGUGAAGUAAGAGAAAAGCAGUUGCCCUGCCCCAUAUCCCCCAGCCAACCUGAGGCCACCUGCAGCUGCAGGGGAAAGCAGUUUACAGCAUGCCAGCAGCUUUCCUCCUUAAGCACCUGCAGCUCAAUUCUCCUGCUUGAUGCCCACCCUCCAUGAGUACACUGGUGUCAACAGAAGGUCAGGCGAACUCAUGUCCCUGGGCACCCUCCACCAUGGGGAAUGGGAGUUAAUGCCCAAUGGGGUGAUUAAUGCCCAAUGGGGUAAUUUUGAGGUGUGUUUUACAUGGUUUCUUAGAGCGUUCCCAGGGCCCUCAGGUGCCCUCAGUAGCGAAUCCUCACUGAUGCAUGGGUUAUUGGCUUUCUCCCUUUCUUAUAGCAUGUUCCCGCUGCUUCAAGUCUACUCCCAAGGAUCACUGGGAGUAGACUUGUACUAAAUAAACUGCUUCUGAAGUUUUUGUCUCAGGAGCUCUUUUGGGAGGAAUCCAAACUAAGACACUAGUUUAGAGGGACCUAAGUAGAGCCCUUGAACAUUCCAUGGAGAGGGUUAGUGUUCUAGGCAUUCUGCCUUGACUCUCCAAAAGGGAAGAGGACAGAAAUGUGUAAAGAGAUGUGUACAAAGAUGAACGUUUUCAAGGACUUAAUGAGAAGUUAAAAAAAAAAAAUCAGUCUUUAAAAUGUCAUUUGUAAGAUCUUGACAGCAGUACCUCUUGGCAUGUAGACCUAUCUGCAGAGGGUUAAAGUAGGUGGGUGAACUGAACAGCCUCUGGAUGAAGGGGGAUGCGUUCAGAAAACACAGGAGGGGGACUCCUUCUUUGUCUUGCGGUAUGAUUCAGUCCAUCCCUCAUUUUGUGCCUUCAUCUCAUUUAGAGAUAAGAUGAUGCUCCUUGUUUCACCGUAUUUCCAAAGGUUCUGACAGUGGAAGGUAGCAUAGCACCUUUAUGUAUUCUCAAGGAGCUUCUGAAGCUUAAUCCUUAAGCAUUGGUUCUAAUAAUUUUCCCCAAGGAACUGGCUUAAUCAAUUUCUGUAAUCACCAGCCAGAUAUAGGAUUUUGAUGACUUCCUAAAUGCUUUAGAAGCAUAAUCCCCGCUAUGUUGGGAUUAAGGCAUCCCAUUUUUAUUUAGUUUGAUUUUAUUGAAUGCCUCUUCUACUAAAAGGGGUGGAUGACAUACAUUUUUUUUUCUUAAAGAAUAAAUACAUUGAGGUUAAUUUGCUUAGAUAUUUUUGGAGAAAAAGGUCCAUGUCUCUUGAGAUAACUUGAGAUUAUAUUGGACAUCCCUCUCUGUGUCUCAAUUAGGACUGAGGAUGGACACUGUAGGAUGGAUGCACCUCUAUUUUAUAGGUAUGUUUGGAGGACUAAAUGAGAUGAGGUGCUCAGCACAAUGCCUUCCGUGUGGUGAGUGGUCAACAAAUAUUAUGAGGAAGAUAAUGAUGAUAAUGAAUCAAUGAUAUUUUCACAUAAAGCAACAAUUUUCUUCCGUGGAUUCCAAAAACAAUUCUUCUUUAAUGUCAAUUAUGUAAAAUUAUUUACAAGGAAAUCAUUUUAUACCUUGUUUCCUAUUGUGUUCUUGCUGCAGUUAAAUUAUAUUAAACUUUAUUUCAGUUUCUCUCAAAACCUUGGUUGCUGGAAAUUUACCCAGUGGCUGAACAUGAUAGUAGCAUCUGCUUUAGAUAGAAUAUCCCUACAGACUAUCAGGCAGCAACAUCUCUUAAUAAAUCUUGAGCCUGGUCUGAAGUUUAAUGACUUUGAAGGCAGCUAUAGUUGGCCAGUCAACCAAAGACACAUCAACUUUAUUAAUAAGAUUUUGUGGCGUUCUUAUCUAUUUAUGCAUCAGUGUGCAUCCUAGCGACAGAACCCUUCUCCGCGCUGCCCAUGAACAUUUUCGCUCUCUGGUUUCUGUGAUACUUUCUGAGUACAGAUAGAUUUAUGUGCUCUACUAUAGGCACGCACAGUGAUUUUCAUCACUUAGGGCAUUUCAGCCCUUUCCUUAUGAAAAAAUAACUUAGUAAAUGUACUUGACUUUAGACACCUUAUGUAUUUUCUUGGGAGAAACUGUGAAGUCAUUAAAAAAGUUUGAUGUGUACCCUAAAUUCACCAGAUCUGUAGGACAAAUCCCAGCAACCCAGAUGUUGUUGUGCUCUGCAUACCUGUGAAGGCUCCCUCUAACCCAGAACAGGAGGUGCGGAGAAGGCCCGGGAGCCAGGAUGCUUCCAGUAGGGGCGUACACAAAGCCAUUCCCUUAGCCUGAGGCAGUGUCGCCUCUCCCACCUGCCCCCACACCCAUCAGCCUGUGAUCCCCCUUCACUCAGCUCAAGCGCUGUAACUAGAGACCCAGCGAUACAUAAAUAUAGACCUCUGAGCUGUUUCCAAAAUCUCAGUUAUUUACGCAGUUCAAGGAGAGUAAUUUGGUGUUGGGGGGAAUAAUUUUCUCAGCAGGUUCAUGCAGCUACAAACCAGGAAGGUGCUAGAGAUUGUUUAAAAUCAUGGCUUUAGAGUCAUUCAGACCCGGGUUAGCUUCCUGUUAGGACCCUUACUACUUUGCCACCCUGGACAAGCUCCUGAACCUCUUUGAUUCUUAAUUGCUCCAUUUCUAAAAUUGGGUUAAUGGUAACAAAGAUGAUGACAGUAAUUACCCUUUGUUAAGUGCUCACAGUGCCCUGAGAACUGUACAAAGUGCUUCCUGUACAUCUUUUGGCCACCUUCACAACUCUUUGAGGCUCUAUGCAUCACAACAUCACAACAGAUUCUGCUCUGUGAGAGUAGUUACUGCACUGUCCAUGACAAAUGCCACCACCACUGUUAUUCCAGAGAAAGCUCUUUCAUUCCCGCCCCAGACACUGCUGCCAGGAUGUGAAGAAUAUUUUCAUACGCUUUCUUCAGGCACCAAAUCCUUUCCCUUUUUGUUCUAGUGCUUGAUACACCCAAGAUGCACCAAUACAAAGAGAUUUUGUUACAUCAUUUAUUUUUCUGAGAGUUGUGUAGUUCACAUAAUUGUGUCUAACAUUAUUUAGGGAUGUUGAGCUGCUCUACUCCAGCUUUACUUAGUGAAAAAACCUAGGUCAGGAAUUUUUCUAUAGAAUAAGGCUGCCUUAAAACUGAACAAAAAUUUUAAAGACAUAAAAAUAAAAGCAUCAAUGACAAAAAUAAUCUUCCCAAUAAUCCUAUAAAAGUCCCUCAGACUUAAGUAUUGAAUUUUCUUUGACAUUGUCAGGAGAUGAUGUAAUUCAAGCUGUUCUUUAUGCAGCAAUCCUUUGUGACUCUAGCUCUAUUUUACCAGCAAUCUGUUCUAUUAAUGCAGGUGCCUGAGGAGCAGCAGUCCUGAUCAAGACAAGGCAGUCAGCCUCCAGGAAGGUAAAUUUUCCACUGCCAAAGACAAUAUAACAUCCAUCUCUACCUUUGGCUAUAAUUUAUUAGUGGUGUUUGGGUGGUAAUUUAACCCAUAAUGCAUUGCUUUCCAAAUUGCAGUAUGCUAAACAUCAAGUAAGCUAUCUUACAUGAUUAAACAGGCUGAAGAAACCCUGGAGUGCUUGUUACUAGCACACAGAAGCAUUUUAUCAUAGGUAGUGUCAUAGACUACAUUACACUCUAAACUCCUGAACCCAUCCUGAGAAAUAUCACAGACACGGAAUUACUCAUCCUUUCCUAAAGUGGCAUAUUUAUUUUAGUUGAAAAUUGUAAUUUUCUACAACCUGAAGUCAAGACUCUUUAAUCAGGCACUUUUGCAUAUAAGUAUAUGCAAUGCACAACUAUCUUAAUUUCCAUAGAGAGAUGAGUAGAAAAGCAAACUAACUUCAGAAACUUCACUGCUCUUGGAAUACAGGCUCAACUGCAGUAUUGCUUAACUCAUGUGGGUGGGAGCUUCAGGUGAGGGGAACCCAUUUGCUCACCUUGGGGAGAUUUGGCUUUGGGCUGCCAUUUGGAGGUGUCUCCUGUUGAGGACUGUGAGUGGAAAGUCCAAUUUAGAGCCUUUUUCAAGAAGACUGUGGAAUCCUCUCCUGCAGGCAUUGAAAGUAGGCACAACCCAGGGAGCGGAUUGGUACCUGGGAUUGGCCAGAGGCACGGAUUGGCCUGGGUGACUUUACAAGAUUUCUUCUAGUUUAAUGAAGUCUCUUCUGAGAGACUGUGAUGCACCACUCACUCCAAAACCCAAAGAUCAUCAAGAGAGAGCUAAAGGGAGCCAUGCCUGCGAUAUUUUCAGCUAGUUCAGUGAAAUGGUGAUGAGACGAUUUGCAGAUUUAGUGCAAAUCAGAAUCACCUGUUGAGCUUGUUCAACACAUCGAUGUCCUGGGCCCAAUCUAUAAAGAUUUUGAUUCAGGAGUUUUGUCACAGGGCC
rnacentral:lncRNA from 1 species